ACCACUGAGCCACCUUUCCAGCCCAGCUGAGUUGUUUUUUAAAAAAUUUUCUACAGGGGCUGGGAAGGUGGCUCAGUGGU
rfam:Dipodomys ordii contig_15686, whole genome shotgun sequence.